AGCUUUGCACAGUGGCAGUAUCGUAGCCAAUGAGGUUUAUCUGAGGCGCGAUUAUUGCUAAUUGAAAACUUUUCCCAAUACCCCGCCGUGACGACCUACAAGACAGUCAGCACUGGCAAUUUCUGAUGAUCGCCACAGAGA
ensembl:snRNA U4 U4 spliceosomal RNA